rnacentral:rRNA from 1 species
UACGUAGGGGGCUAGCGUUGUCCGGAAUCAUUGGGCGUAAAGCGCGUGUAGGCGGCCCGGUAAGUCCGCUGUGAAAGUCGGGGGCUCAACCCUCGGAUGCCGGUGGAUACUGUCGGGCUAGAGUGCGGAAGAGGCGAGUGGAAUUCCUGGUGUAGCGGUGAAAUGCGCAGAUAUCAGGAGGAACACCUGUGGCGAAAGCGGCUCACUGGACCAUAACUGACGCUGAUGCACGAAAGCUAGGGGAGCAAACAGG